rnacentral:rRNA from 1 species
GAUACGACCGUACCGCAAACCGACACUGGUGCGCGAGAUGAGUAUUCUAAGGCGCUUGAGAGAACUCAGGAGAAGGAACUCGGCAAAUUGACACCGUAACUUCGGAAGAAGGUGUGCCCUAUUAGUGUGUAGUGAACAACGAAGCAUGAAUGGGUUGCAAAAAAUCGGUGGCUGCGACUGUUUAUUAAAAACACAGCACUCUGCAAACACGAAAGUGGACGUAUAGGGUGUGACGCCUGCCCGGUGCUGGAAGAUUAAAUGAUGGGGUGCAAGCUCUUGAUUGAAGUCCCAGUAAACGGCGGCCGUAACGAUAACGGUCCUAAGGUAGCGAAAUUCCUUGUCGGGUAAGUUCCGACCUGCACGAAUGGCGUAACGAUGGCCACACUGUCUCCUCCUGAGACUCAGCGAAGUUGAAAUGUUUGUGAUGAUGCAAUCUCCCCGCGGAAAGACGGAAAGACCCCAUGAACCUUUACUGUAGCUUUGUAUUGGACUUUGAACAGAUCUGUGUAGGAUAGGUGGGAGGCUUUGAAGCAGGGUCGCUAGAUCUUGUGGAGCCAACGUUGAAAUACCACCCUGGUGUGUUUGAGGUUCUAACCUAGGUCCAUUAUCUGGAUCGGGGACAGUGCAUGGUAGGCAGUUUGACUGGGGCGGUCUCCUCCCAAAGCGUAACGGAGGAGUUCGAAGGUACGCUAGUUACGGUCGGACAUCGUGACGAUAGUGCAAUGGCAUAAGCGUGCUUAACUGCGAGACUGACAAGUCGAGCAGAUGCGAAAGCAGGACAUAGUGAUCCGGUGGUUCUGUAUGGAAGGGCCAUCGCUCAACGGAUAAAAGGUACUCUGGGGAUAACAGGCUGAUACCGCCCAAGAGUUCAUAUCGACGGCGGUGUUUGGCACCUCGAUGUCGGCUCAUCUCAUCCUGGGGCUGUAGCCGGUCCCAAGGGUAUGGCUGUUCGCCAUUUAAAGAGGUACGUGAGCUGGGUUUAAAACGUCGUGAGACAGUUUGGUCCCUAUCUUCCGUGGGCGCUGCAGAUUUGAGGAAGCCUGCUCCUAGUACGAGAGGACCGGAGUGGACACACCUCUGGUGUAUCGGUUGUCACGCCAGUGGCAUUGCCGAGUAGCUAAGUGUGGAAGAGAUAACCGCUGAAAGCAUCUAAGCGGGAAACUCGUUUCAAGAUGAGAUCUGCCGGGGCCUUGAGCCCCCUAAAGAGUCGUUCAAGACCAGGACGUUGAUAGGUCAGGUGUGGAAGUGAAAAAA